GCCGCCUAACAAUAAAAAACAUGGUUUGAUGACAUAGUGGACAUUUUUUUCCCAAUAUUUGGCUUAAUUGUGAGAAAUGACCUGAUUGUGAGGAAUUUGUUUUACAUUUUUAAACCGACCGCACACUACAACCACCAAACUCAAACUGCAAUAAAUUAAUCAUAUAAUUUAUACCCAAAUACAUUUGUACAACAAAAUAACAUUUGACACAUAUAAUAUUAUAUUAUUAUAUUAGAGAGCUGUUUUCUUUAUAAUCAUCACUCUAUACUUUGUACAAUGUUUAUUAAGGUGGUAUUGGAUUAAAUAGCGUAGAGCAGUAUAACAUACGAACCAACACUUGGACCAAAGUUAGCAGCUUAAACCACGAGCGAUAUGGUUCUUGUGCUUGUGUUGUGAAUGGGAAGAUAUACGUCAUUGGAGGUUUUGGUUGGGGUGAUGCUGCAUCAAAAUCAAUUGAGGCUUAUGAUGCAACAAUCAAUGAAUGGAAGAUUGAAACCAACAUGGAGACACCAAGAUCUCAUGCAUCAGUUGUAGCUUUGUAAACAAUGAAAAUCUUCAACAAAAUUGUUUGUGUAUUUCAUGAUUUGUUUUGAUAAAUAUUCCAUCAAUAGUUUUGUAAACAACAUGAGCCACUGUUCA